rnacentral:rRNA from 1 species
AUUGAACGCUGGCGGCAUGCUUUACACAUGCAAGUCGAACGGCAGCGCGGGCUUCGGCCUGGCGGCGAGUGGCGAACGGGUGAGUAAUGCAUCGGAACGUGCCCAGUAGUGGGGGAUAGCCUGGCGAAAGCCGGAUUAAUACCGCAUACGACCUGAGGGUGAAAGCGGGGGACCGAAAGGCCUCGCGCUAUUGGAGCGGCCGAUGUCGGAUUAGCUAGUUGGUGGGGUAAAGGCUUACCAAGGCGACGAUCCGUAGCUGGUCUGAGAGGACGACCAGCCACACUGGGACUGAGACACGGCCCAGACUCCUACGGGAGGCAGCAGUGGGGAAUUUUGGACAAUGGGGGCAACCCUGAUCCAGCCAUGCCGCGUGCGGGAAGGAGGCCUUCGGGUUGUAAACCGCUUUUGUUCGGGAAGAAAUCCUCUGGGCUAAUACCCCGGGGGGAUGACGGUACCGGAAGAAUAAGCACCGGCUAACUACGUG